rnacentral:rRNA from 1 species
UACAGGGGGGGCAAGCGUUGUUCGGAAUUCCUGGGCGUAAAGGGUUUGUAGGUGGCUUGUUAAGUCAGACGUGAAAUCCCUCAGCUUAACUGGGGAACUGCGUCUGAUACUGAUGAGCUUGAGUGCAGGAGAGGAACGCGGAAUUCCAGGUGUAGCGGUGAAAUGCGUAGAUAUCUGGAGGAACACCGGUGGCGAAGGCGGCGUUCUGGACUGCAACUGACACUGAGAAACGAAAGCCAGGGGAGCAAACGGG